GAGUUUGAUCUUGGCUCAGAUUGAACGCUGGCGGCGGGCCUAACACAUGCAAGUCGAGCGGAUGAAGGGAGCUUGCUCCUGGAUUCAGCGGCGGGCGGGUGAGUAAUGCCUAGGAAUCUGCCUGGGUAGUGGGGGAUAACGUCCGGAAACGGGCGCUAAUACCGCAUACGUCCUGAGGGAGAAAGUGGGGGAUCUUCGGACCUCACGCUAUCAGAUGAGCCUAGGUCGGAUUAGCUAGUUGGUGGGGUAAAGGCCUACCAAGGCGACGAUCCGUAACUGGUCUGAGAGGAUGAUCAGUCACACUGGAACUGAGACACGGCCCAGACUCCUACGGGAGGCAGCAGUGGGGAAUAUUGGACGAUGGGUGAAAGCCUGAUCCAGCCAUGCCGCGUGUGUGAAGAAGGUCUUCGGAUUGUAAAGCACUUUAAGUUGGGAGGAAGGGCAGUAAGUUAAUACCUUGCUGUUUUGACGUUACCAACAGAAUAAGCACCGGCUAACUUCGUGCCAGCAGCAGCCGACCG
rnacentral:rRNA from 1 species